rnacentral:RNase_P_RNA from 1 species
ACAGUGGCCCGGCCUGUCGCUGGUUUUCUCUUUAUAGGGAAGACGAGAGGAAAGUCCGGGCAACACAGGACAAUCCGCUACCUAACGGGUAGGAGCCAGUGAUGGUUGGUCAGUGCAGAAGAAAAUAACCGCCUGCUUCGUGCAGGUAAGGAUGAGAAGGUGGAGUAAGAGCCCACCAGGCGUAUGGCGACAUGCGUGCUGUGCACUCCGGAUGUUGAAAGUUCGCGUAUACCGGCAAUGUCUCUGCUGUAAUGGCGGGGGUGAGAGGGUUGUCCGCCCGAGCCGGAGGGUAGAACGAUAGAGGCCGGUGGUGACACCGGCAGUGGAUAAAUGACAGGCGGCGAGAAUGAAGGUAAUCUUUACUGAAUUUCCCGUGCACAGAACCCGGCUUAUAGGGCCGCUGUUUCU